GCCAGGCGUGGUAGUGCACACCUGUAGUCCUAGCUACUUGGGAGGCUGAGGUGGGAGGAUUGCUUGAGCCCAGGAGUUUGAGACCAGCCUGGGCAAUAUAGCAAGACCCCAUUUCUA
ensembl:misc_RNA Metazoa_SRP Metazoan signal recognition particle RNA